UGGGGCGUCGUAUAAUGGCAUUACGCUCGGUUCUGGUCCGAGAUAUCGGGGUUCGAAUCCCUGCGCCCCAGCCA
rnacentral:tRNA from 2 species